CGCAAGGUGCGCCCCGUUCGUUCCCCAG
rnacentral:sRNA from 1 species